rnacentral:rRNA from 1 species
CACGUAGGGUGCGAGCGUUGUCCGGAAUUAUUGGGCGUAAAGAGCUCGUAGGCGGUGUGUCGCGUCGGCCGUGAAAACCUGCAGCUUAACUGUGGGCUUGCGGUCGAUACGGGCAUCACUGGAGUUCGGCAGGGGAGACUGGAAUUCCUGGUGUAGCGGUGAAAUGCGCAGAUAUCAGGGAGGAACACCAGCGGCGGAAGGCGGCGCCUCUGGGCCGGAACUGACGCUGGAG